AUGGCUCGCACUAAGCAGACCGCUCGCAAGUCCACCGGCGGCAAGGCGCCACGUAAGCAGCUGGCCACCAAGGCGGCCCGCAAGAGCGCGCCGGCCACGGGCGGCGUGAAGAAGCCGCACCGCUACCGGCCCGGCACGGUGGCCCUGCGCGAGAUCCGCCGCUACCAGAAGUCCACGGAGCUGCUGAUCCGCAAGCUGCCGUUCCAGCGCCUGGUGCGCGAGAUCGCGCAGGACUUCAAGACCGACCUGCGCUUCCAGAGUUCUGCCGUGAUGGCGCUGCAGGAGGCGUGCGAGGCCUAUCUGGUGGGACUCUUCGAGGACACCAACCUGUGUUAAGUGCUCGUUAUGUCGGGUCGUGGGAAGGGCGGGAAGGGUCUCGGAAAGGGGGGCGCCAAGCGCCACCGCAAGGUGCUGCGCGAUAAUAUUCAGGGCAUCACUAAGCCCGCUAUUCGGCGUUUGGCUAGGCGUGGUGGCGUCAAGCGCAUCUCUGGCCUCAUCUACGAGGAGACUCGCGGGGUGCUGAAGGUGUUCCUGGAGAACGUGAUUCGGGACGCUGUCACUUACACUGAGCACGCCAAGCGCAAGACCGUCACCGCCAUGGACGUGGUCUACGCGCUCAAGCGCCAGGGACGCACGCUUUACGGCUUUGGCGGCUAGAGUGUUCAGUUUUGUGUCUGUUCUGUUAACAAAAGGCCCUUUUCAGGGCUUCCUACUUUUCGCUUGUAAGGAGCUGUGAUUCUCUAAUUUUUUCAUUGCUUGGAGAUGUUAAAAAGUAUUUAAUUAUUGUACUUUAGCCUGCGAAAUUUUGUGCUCAUUCUGGGACGCGUGUGUUCCCAAUCCCGCCUAGAUACAGCAGGGGUCGUUAGGACCGCUGUCCAGUCAAUUCUUUACCUAAGGAUAUAUCCACGCUGAGUUGGUAUGGAAUCUUUAGUUGUGUAAUUUGCUAAAGGAGGUAGUGGGGAAAGUCCUUGCAGAUGCCUACGUUCGCUACUAUGUAACUUUUUCUUUUACAAGGUAACAUAGUUGAACCACCUAUUAAAAGUGGGGUAACUGUAUCAGUUAAUACACUGUACCACUGGCAAGAAGUCACACACAAUCUGGAGUCUGGCAGUGUUACUUGGAAAAAGUGUAUUCAGAUCCCAAAGUGGGAAAGUUUUAUAGAAAAAGAAUUCGUCUUUAAGAUUAGUUAGUGACAUCUCUGCCUCUCUAAAGGUAAUAACUAUCUUGUCAAAUCAAGCUCGCAGGCAUGUUCUAUGUCCCUGGAGGGAUAGUCAGUAGCCUAUUACUGGUCUGGAUCACUUAUUUACCACAAAGGAUAGGGAGAACAUUUUAAACUUAAAUUAGUCCAUUCAUAGAGUCAAGUGAGUAAAGGGUUUUUUGGUUGAUUUUAAAAGGCGAGGCUCAUAAUUAGCGCUCAUUAAGUCUUAAUUUAUGUAUUUGGUGAAGUGAAUGUCACUGGUGACAAGAACUGGGGAGGGACAGUUAUAGUAAUGGAUUCAGAUAAAGCAAAAGUACAAAAUUCCUGGUCCACGUAUGGAGAGCACAUAUGUUUUCUUUAGACAUAUUUUUCUUAAUUUUUUGUCAUUAAUGUAAGCAUGUUAAUGAAAAAUGUACUUGUUUUCUACUUGUGAAAAAUCGUCCGACUUGGCACCGCUAAGCAGACCCACAUAUAUUUUGGACAUAAAAAAUAAUCUCUCUGUUUAGGAUGUAAAAGAUAAAAAUAAAUAUUUUAGGAGAUGUAAAUGUCCUGUUUUGUGA